UUAUAGCCUUCCCUCGGCAUUCCCAUCAUCUCGAAAGCUGAGAAAGGACGCAGAUGAAUACCAGGCGGGGAAUCACCGGCAUCUACUUCCGGAGGAGUUAGCCCUCCGAGCCGGAAGUGAAUGGGAGAGGGCGCGCAGCAUUCUGGGUAGAGUCUGGAGAAACAUGUUGGCGUCCGCUGACUGUUACCCGGGCAACCGGAGGCGCUUGAUGGUUACUCCCAGAGUGGCGUAGUGAGCGGGCCGGGCUGAGGUGCUCAGAGCGUUGGGGUGAGCGGGGAGGGCGUGAGGCCCUUUAAGAGGCGGGCGUCCUGAUCGGAGGGGGUUCGGCCCAGUCCCGGGAGCGCCGCUGGGAUCUGGGUGGGUCCCGCCCGGGUGGCGGGUGGCGGGUGGCAGGUGGCGGGUGGGUCCCGCCCUCCAGUCUGAGCCUCGCGGGGAAAGGAGGUGUGGGGGCCCGUAGCUCCUUCCGGUCACUUCUCGUUUUCUGCCUCCUUACAGAAAAUAAUCCCAGGUGGGAAAAAGGUAUCUGUCACUGAGCAAAGACUGCCACAGGCACUGCUCCUUUUUAAAGGAGCCUGGCAACUCAUCCAUGUCUUCCUCUUCCACCUCCUCAGAGCCUGCUUGCCAGGAGAGGGCCUCUACUAUCGUUGUCAGUAGCCGUGUGUGGCUGGUCUGAACUGAGGUAUGCAGUAAUGUAAACUACACACUGGAUCUCAAAGACUUAUUUUGAGGAAAAAAGGAUGGAAUGUAUCUCAUUGAUAAUUUCAUUGAUUACAUAUUGAAAUUAUAAUAUUUGAGAUAUAUUAGACUAAGUAAAAUGUAUCAUUAAGGUAGAUUUCAUCUUUUCUUUUCACCUUUCUUAAUGUGGCUAUUAGAAUGACUUAAGUGGCUCACAUUAUGUUCCUGUUGCUCUAAACAAAUAGGAAGUCUAUCUAACGCUAGUAAUCUCCAAAUAUUAUUGUCACUAACUUUAGUAAAUUUAAUUUACUGAGGUACAAUACCCAUAAGGUCUUUUUCUGUGCAUACUCUCUGGGGAAUAAAAAUCAAUACCCAUUCUUAGUGCAUUUUAUAUUUUAAUUUUGGGGAGUGAUCCUCAGGUCACUAGAUGUCAGUAGCUACCUGGUGAGCACUGUCAUAUUCAGUAGUGUGGCCUCAUUUCAAGGAGUCAGUCCAUCUAUGACAGCUCAAGCUGAGAUGGUUGCCUUUCAGCUUCAGUAUAUAGGAAAUCUGUUUCAUUAAAACUGAAUUCAUUCAAUGCAAUUCAGCUAAGCACUCUCCUUCGCUGAGAGCUAACAGGAAGUUGCUAAGAGAGUAGAUCUUAGAAAUUAUCUCAAGAA